rnacentral:rRNA from 1 species
CUAAGCGUGUAGUGAAAUCGAUCGGCUCAACCGGUCGGCUACUGCGCGAACUGGGUCGCUAGAGCAUAUGAGGGGUAGCUGGAAUUCCUUGUGUAGGAGUGAAAUCCGUAGAUAUAAGGAGGAACACCAAUGGCGUAGGCAGGCUACUGGCAUAUUGCUGACACUGAGGCACGAAAGCGUGGGGAGCGAACCGGAUUAGAUACCCGGGUAGUCCACGCCGUAAACGAUGGAUGCUA